rnacentral:tRNA from 1 species
GGGCGUUUGGCAGAACGGUUAUGCUCCUGACUCUUAAUCAGGCUGACACAGGUACCCUUUGGGAUGCCUACGGCUACAACUCCUGUAGCGCCCACCA